GUUUCACGUAAAUUUUGAGGUUUCUGUGAUUGCGCGUAAAAUCUGCUGGGCUUUCAGCUGUUUAGAGCAGAUCACGACGCAGAAUCAAUGGGGAAAUUGCGAGGUGGCGGGACAUGCUUUUACAUCAAUGAGUCAAUCAGAUGUAGCAGUGUUAAAGAAGAUGUGCUGUUUAGAUCUAGAAGUGCUCUUUAUUAACUGCAAGCCUUUCUACUUGCUGCGGGAAUUUCACUCGUUCAUUCUCGUGAGUGUUUACAUUCCUGCACAAGCGCACGUGAGCUCAGCUUUACAGAAACUCGCUGAUCAGAUCACAGACACAGAACAACAACACCCAGUCUCUGUUUUAAUCAUUCUCGGGGACUUUAAUAAAACCAAUCUCUCCCGUGAACUGCCAAAAUACAGACAGCAUAUCACAUGUCCCACCAGAGACAGUAAUAUAUUGGAUUACUGUUACACCACAAUAAAGAAUGCAUAUCACUCUGUUCCACGGGCAGCUUUCAGACUCUCUGAUCAUUAUUUGGUUCAUCUUAUACCGACCUACUGGCAGGAUUUACAAGCUUGUUUUGACCUCACUGAUUGGAGUGUUUUUGAAACUGCUGCCACUGAUCUGGAUGAGCUCACAGAGACUGUAACAUCAUAUAUCAGUUUCUGUGACGAUAUGUGCAUUCCUACCAGGACUCAUCUAACUUACAACAACGACAAACCGUGGUUUACUGCAAAACUCAGACCGCUCCGUCAGGCCAAAGAAGAUGCUUACAGGAAGGGGGACAAUGUCUUUUAUAAACAGGCCAUAUACAUACUGGAAAAGGAGAUCAGAGUGGCAAAGAGGAAUUAUUCUCAAAAACUAAGGACUCAGUUCACCUCCAGUGACUCAGCAUCAGUGUGGAAAGGUCUGAAGGAGAUCACCAACUACAAGACACCAUCCCCCAGCACUAUGGAGAAUCAACAACUGGCAGACGAUCUGAAUGAGUUUUACUGCAGGUUUGAAAAAAACACCCCACACCCGCUCUGAACACCUCUCCACACAACCAUUCACACCAUUCACACCUCCUGCAACCCCCCUCUCCCCCCACACCUGCAAUUCAGAUCAGCGAAGAUGAGGUGCGCCAGGUCUUCCAGAAGCAGAAAAGGAAAAAAGCACUAGGCCCAGAUUGUGUUACUCCAGUCUGUCUGAAAUCCUGUGCUGACCAGCUGGCCCCCAUCUUCACACAAAUCUUCAACAGACCACUGGAGCUGUGCGAAGUCCCUUCAUGCUUUAAACGCUCCACCAUCAUCCCCAUCCUAAAGAAACCCAAAAUU
ensembl:lncRNA